CAUGCCGCAUGAGGAAGGGGGUAUAGGGUUCAGAUCUCUCCAUGAUGUAUCCAAAGCUCUUUUCUGCAAAUUAUGGUGGAACUUCAGGACAAAACCCAGCUUAUGGAGUGCUUUUAUGUGUCAAAAGUAUUGCAAAAAGCUAAAUCCUGUAAUUGUACCGUGGAAAAAUGGGUCACAUAUUUGGAGAAAAAUGCUUGAAUGCAGGGAUUUGAUGGAGCAUCAAAUUUUCUGGAAAUUGAGGAUGGGUUCGGCUCAAUUUUGGUUUGACAACUGGACCGAGUUGGGAGCCUUAUAUUUCCUAG
rnacentral:lncRNA from 1 species